rnacentral:rRNA from 1 species
UACGUAGGGGGCAAGCGUUAUCCGGAUUUACUGGGUGUAAAGGGAGCGUAGACGGCCAGACAAGUCUGAAGUGAAUAUCCAGCGCUUAACGCUGGAAGUGCUUUGGAAACUGCCGGGCUGGAGUGCAGGAGGGGCAGGCGGAAUUCCUAGUGUAGCGGUGAAAUGCGUAGAUAUUAGGAGGAACACCAGUGGCGAAGGCGGCCUGCUGGACUGCAACUGACGUUGAGGCUCGAAGGCGUGGGGAGCAAACAGG